CAGCUUAACUGUAGAACUGCCGUUGAUACUGCUAGUCUUGAGUAUAGUUGAGGUAGCUGGAAUGAGUAGUGUAGCGGUGAAAUGCAUAGAUAUUACUCAGAACACCGAUUGCGAAGGCAGGUUACCAAGUUAUAACUGACGCUGAGGGACGAAAGCGUGGGGAGCGAACAGGAUUAGAUACCCUGGUAGUCCACGCCGUAAACGAUGCUAACUCGUUUUUGGGCUUUAGGGUUCAGAGACUAAGCGAAAGUGAUAAGUUAGCCACCUGGGGAGUACGACCGCAAGGUUGAAACUCAAAGGAAUUGACGGGGGCCCGCACAAGCGGUGGAUCAUGUGGUUUAAUUCGAUGAUACGCGAGGAACCUCACCAAGGCUUAAAUGGGAAUUGACAGCUGUAGAAAUACGGUUUACUUCGGACAAUUUUCAAGGUGCUGCAUGGUUGUCGUCAGCUCGUGCCGUGAGGUGUUAGGUUAAGUCCUGCAACGAGCGCAACCCCUGUCACUAGUUGCCAUCAUUAAGUUGGGGACUCUAGUGAGACUGCCUACGCAAGUAGCGAGGAAGGUGGGGAUGACGUCAAAUCAUCACGGCCCUUACGCCUUGGGCCACACACGUGAUACAAUGGCCGGUACAGAGGGCAGCUACACUGCGAAGUGAUGCAAAUCUCGA
rnacentral:rRNA from 1 species